rnacentral:lncRNA from 1 species
UGUCAACUGUGGCUGAGACAUUCAGGUUGAGAGCCCACAUUCUAAAAAGGUGAGUGAACUGAAAAAAGUCCUACUUUCAUUAUCAUUGCUUUCUGAUAAAAGAUCAUUCUUCGCUUACAAUUGUGUAAAUAUUUUCUCACAGUCUGUGAUUUAAAUACCAGGUGUCUACUCAAUCGUAGCAUACCUUUAACCAACGUAAAGUUUUAGUUAUCUUCACCUGCACACAUACUGCUCUGCCCACAAAUUCUGCAAUCCAGUUUUGCCUGAUUCUAAACUGCUCUCUCUAAAAGUCCCGCUCUAAGGAGCUUUUUGGGGGAACUACUUAAAAAGUGACUUUGAGAAAUGGAUAGUAUCCCUCUAUCCAUCCUCCCGCAGCAAAACAACUAAAUUCAACUAGAGUCAUUCUCCCGGCCCCUGAGAGUAAGACAUAGGCCUUUGGGUAACUCAACACCAAAAGUCAAAAAGCGUAGUCUGAGAAUGUGCGGGAGGACGCCUUUCCCCUUCUAACCAGACGAUAAAAUGAGGCUCAUAAAGAGAAGAAAACAAAAACACUAAAAAUUGGGGCUCCUGGCUGCGCGAAGGACCGGAGCGCCCAGGCGUCCGGGUACUUCUCCGCGGCAGUGGCGCGUCCUGGGGUUCAGCAACCCUCCUCCAGACACCUAACCUCCCCCUUCUCCAGCCUGCUUUCCCGAGGCACGCGAGAGCGGUCCUGAGGGAGGGGUAGUAGGCCUCAUUGUGUGGGACCCGAAAAGGCCCCGAGGCGGGGCGCGGAAGACACCACCCGGCACGAUUCGGGGAGGGGGCCGGGGGUUAGUUCAGGGAGCAGGCGGGUCACGAGGUGACAGGAGGAGGAGGGAGGAGGAAAGAAAUGGGGGUUGGGAGGUAGCGUCCAGUCCGUGGGCGCAGACAGCUCGGCUAUACCUCCGACUCCCCUAAUCCCGCCACCUCUGAGAACCCUACAGGGCGAGGAGGGAAGUCCACAAAGUGCCGGAGCAGAGGGGAGAAAAUUCAAAACGAGUCUACUCAACCUCGUCUUGGCUCCGAGGCCCUGCCAUGGAGACCAGCACAAUGCGCAGGCGCAUCCUUCGGAGAACGCGCAGCGCAGUACUGUGAGGCAAGACCACAAUCGGCCACCGUCGUCCAUUUCCCUUAUGAUUCCUUUUCCCCACCCCACGUAUUCCUCUCACCUGGAUCUAAAGCCUGAAGCUGGAGGCGGGAGCAUUCCGAAAGACUCGUCUUAG